rnacentral:lncRNA from 1 species
UUGCCGGUGAGGCUUAAAGCGGGCCCCUCUGGUGACUGUCCUCGCCGUGCCUUCCCCCCGCUCCACCUUGGCUCAUCCGAUUGAUGUGGUGUGGUCGUGCUCUCCCGGGCCGGGCCUAAGCCGUGCCAGACGAGGGACAGGUGUUCCCGGUGAACGUGUCUGCUCUUCUCGGUCUGUCCGCGGGGCCCCUCGCCUGACUUUUCCCCCCUGGCCGUCGGGGAGGGGGAGGAAGGCGGGGGCUGGGUUGCGGCCUCUGGCCCUGACCUUCGGUCUCCUGUCCCCCGCCUCGGGUGGCGUCAGUGGGGGCCGUGGGUCUUCUGACACAGCAGAUGCUCUCGCUUCGCCUUCCCGGCGUGUGCUCCGCGAGCGGCCCUCCCCGCGGUGGGGAGGGCUGUACCGCUGCUGCGCUGUGCCCCCCCGCGCGGGUGCGCGAGCGUGCCUCGUUGGACCCUCGGUGGUGCCCCUGGAGCGCUCCAGGUCGUCGCUCAGGUGCCUGAGGCCGAGCGGUGGUGUCGUUUCCCUUAACCCCGGUGUCCUCCUCGGGUCCCCACCGCGGUGGUGUGUGUGUGUGUCCCGUGAGUGGGCUCUCUUUUGGGGGGGGGGUCGAGGCGGUAGGAGAGGCGUGCCUGUUCCCCUCGUCGUCGAGGCUGACGGGUGAGGCCUUGCAGGGGACGGGACGCGGGCUCUGCGCUGGCCCCGGCCGCGCAGACGCUCCUGUGUUGGUGCUCCGCCUACCUGUACCGCAGACCCCUCCCACCCCAGCUGAGGACUGGUGGCUCGUGGAGCGCCUCCGUGGGCCCGAAGGAGAGAGACGAUCCGGGUGAGGGGCGGCGAGCCCUCGGUGAGAAAGCCUUCUCUAGCGAUCCGAGAGGGAGCCUUGGGGUAUCGGACCCCCCAGCUGCUGCCCCUCCUGAGUGCGCAGUGGCCGCCGUGGCGGCUGCCAAGAGCGCGUGGGCGGGUGCGCCGGCCCCGCGGUGGGGCCGUGUGCCGCUCGUUGCCUACCGCGGCCCGCGCCUCCCCCCUUCGAGUUGGGGGAGGGUCCCGCUGGGCCCCGCCGGGCGUCCGGCAGGUGGGGGGGGACCGGAGCGUGCGUGCGCCGCGUGUGCGCGCGGUCGGCCCCCGCGGUGUGGUGAGCCUUGGGGCAAAGGGGGGAAGGUGUUGGGGGCGCGACGUCCGGUCGGCCCCGGCUUCCCCAGCCCCGCAGCUGUGGUGCGGGAGAGCCUAUCGCGCCCGCCCUCUCCCCACGAGCCGCAGCCGGUGGCGGCGUGCGGUCACGGUCGGGGCCGCCUCGCUCGAGAGCGUGAUCCCCAGGAUGUCGAGCCUCGGGGUGGCAGACUUAGAUCGGAAGACGGAUCUGUCGAGGACGGGUGGCGGAAGAUGGGUUUGGGCGGCUCGCCGGCCCUGGCGGCGGGGCCGGGUCGUGGGGGCCCGCUCUGGGGCUGGCCGGGACCGGUCGGCGUCCCAGGCGUGUCGCGGGACCGCCCUCGUGUGUGGGUGGCGGUGGGACCCCGCGCUGGUUUUCCUGGUGGCCCGGCCGUGUUCCCGGUGUCUUUGUGGUCCCCGGAUGGCGCCCGCGGCCCUGUCCCGCGGCCCCCGCCGUGCGUGCUUGCCGGCCCCUCCCCGCCGCUGCCGGCCUCUCCUCCUCGUCCCACGCGUGCGACCGCCCCGCGCCCCCUUCCCCUGUCUGGGGCCGAGCCGGCCUCGCCUCAUGUGGGUGUCGUCCCCCGGCCUCCGUCGGCCGGUGGCGUCCCCGAGGCGGGGCGGCGCGCGGGGAGCUUUGCGCGUGUGGGGGACGUGGGGGCCGCCGGUGCGCGGCGGGAGAGCGUUCUCCCUGGCCGGCUUGCGGCUCUCGGGUGUGUGUCGGUGGCGGUGGGCGUGAGCCCCCGUGAGGGUGCCGGGGGGGGGGCGCCAGUCCGUCGUCCCGGGCGUGCGGUGGGACCGUCCCUGUGCUGGGAGGCCUCUGGCGGUGAGAUCCCGCGGUGGGCCCUGGCGGCCGACUCGCGCUUCCCCCUGCCCCAGCACGGGUCGCUUUGA